AUCGUUACAUAGUCAUGGUUUUCUAUCAGUCGUUCGAAAGUGUUUUGUACGUGUGCGCAUUUUCAUAAACGGUGUUGUGCUACAAAAAGAAAACGAAGAACUUCGAAAGAAAAUGGAUCUUGAAGCAAGACGUCCACAGAAAGAGGAUGAAACAGAAAUGGAUCAAAUUACAGAAAGUGAUAGAGAACUGAAUGCUUUGGAAGAGCAUAUACGCGAAGCUCAUAAACGCGACGAAUAUCCGGAUGAAGAUUUUCAUGAAGACUGCUGUUUUGAUGAAUGUACAAACAUGUGGCGCUAUGACUUAGCAACUGAAGAAGCCAGCCCAAGAUUUUGUACCCUGUUUAAGGAUUUGGUUAUGAAGUAUCUAAGACCUGUAAAGAGGAAAUAUGCAAGAAGACCUUUAGAAAAAGGUAUGAUAACGACAAUAGUACUUAACCAGCUUCAAUCAUUAGGAGUAAUAUAUAUGAAACCUGUAGAAGGUGACCCUGAAAAGUUCAUUGUUUUCACAUGCGACUCUGAGAAGAAGUCAGAAAUAGAGAAAAAAUAUAGUAGUAUGUCUAAAGAAGAAAAACUACAUAAACAGGAGUUAGAAAAAUUUGAGGACAACAGUUAUUCAGUCUCACGUCCACUGUCACAUAAUCGCAAACUACGCGACUAUAAGAUAGAUAAUCUUAAAUCUGAAACUGAUGAGACAUCAGAAUGUGACAUAAGUGCAAAACCAUCCACCAGUUCCACCGAAUAAAAGAAGGUACCAUUUAGCUUGGAAUUAUAUUUACCUUCCACCCUGAUAAGAAGCUUCUCACUGCUCAAAAGUUUUAUAGAGUCACUGAACGACGAUAAAGUUAUCUGUAUAAAACAUUUUGCGCACGUACUUCUUGAAGAUUAUAAAUAUCAACACCAGAAACAUUAACAACACAAAAACCAACAUCACACAAAUCAACACCACAAACACCAAUACAAAAAAAAACACAAGGAACUUGACACAACCUCUACAGAAACUUCUAUUGUCACUGACGUCAAAAGAUGCUCAUCAGAUAGUGAACCCUAACUAGCAGCUUCUAAAUCGUCAGAAAGUCCAUUACUUAGCAUAUUGAUAGAUUCACAUGCAUAGACUUAGAACCUUAAACUGGAAAUUGCGGGAUAACGAGAUCGCGAAGCUUACAGAUUUGACUAACUUCGCGUACGACAUUUGGAACAAGUUGCGGCGCCAAUACGAACAGUUGACAUUUUUUAUCCUCAGAACGUAAGAGGAAAUUGUUGUGCACUACUACUACCACGCAGUACACGGCCGUCUUUUACAGUGAGCGUGCCCAUCUAUGUCAGGCUCGUGCUCAGGGUAAGGGAAGGGGAUUAUUAA